rnacentral:rRNA from 1 species
AUUGAACGCUGGCGGCAGGCCUAACACAUGCAAGUCGAACGAGUGGCGGACGGGUGAGUAAUGUCUGGGAAACUGCCUGAUGGAGGGGGAUAACUACUGGAAACGGUAGCUAAUCCCGCAUACUAUCGGAUGUGCCCAGAUGGGAUUAGAUAGUAGGUGGGGUAACGGCUCACAUAGGCGACGAUCCCUAGCUGGUCUGAGAGGAUGACCGGCUACACUGGGACUGAGACACGGUCCAGACUCCUACGGGAGGCAGCAGUGGGGAAUAGUGCACAAUGGGCGCAAGUCGGAUGCAGCCAUGCCGCGUGUAUGAAGAAGGCCUUCGGGUUGUAAAGUACUUUCGGUCGAGAGGCGGUACCCGCAGAAGAAGCACCGGCUAACUCCGUGCCAGCAGCCGCGGUAAUAC